AUGGACCACGCGUACAGUGCGGUUCUGCACGCGCCGUGCAUAACCACCAGACGAUUGCUCGCUACGGUGUUGCAGCC
rnacentral:sRNA from 1 species